AGUCCUAUAGUUGAAUAACAACAUUAAAUUGCAAACUUAAAAGUGUAUCCUAUACUAAGACUU
rnacentral:tRNA from 1 species